UACGGAGGGGGCUAGCGUUGUUCGGAAUUACUGGGCGUAAAGCGCAUCGUAGGCGGCUUUGUAAAGGUUAGAGGUCGAAAGCCCGGAGCUCGAACUCCGGAACUGGCCUUUAAGACUGCAUCGCUUGAACGUCGGAGAAGGUAAGUGGAAUUCCGAGUGUAGAGGUGAAAUUCGUAGAUAUUCGGAAGAACACCAGUGGCGAAGGCGACUUACUGGACGGACUGUUGACGCUGGAGGUGACGAAAGCGUGGGGAGCAAACAGG
rnacentral:rRNA from 1 species